CAGUCGCCACGGUAAUACGUAGGGUGCGAGCGUUAAUCGGAAUUACUGGGCGUAAAGCGUGCGCAGGCGGUUAUGUAAGACAGUUGUGAAAUCCCCGGGCUCAACCUGGGAACUGCAUCUGUGACUGCAUAGCUAGAGUACGGUAGAGGGGGAUGGAAUUCCGCGUGUAGCAGUGAAAUGCGUAGAUAUGCGGAGGAACACCGAUGGCGAAGGCAAUCCCCUGGACCUGUACUGACGCUCAUGCACGAAAGCGUGGGGAGCAAACAGGAUUAGAUACCCCCGUAGUCCCUGUCUCUUAUAC
rnacentral:rRNA from 1 species